UGGGGAAUAUUGCACAAUGGGGGGAACCCUGAUGCAGCGACGCCGCGUGAGCGAAGAAGUAUUUCGGUAUGUAAAGCUCUAUCAGCAGGGAAGAAGAUGACGGUACCUGAGUAAGAAGCACCGGCUAAAUACGUGCCAGCAGCCGCGGUAAUACGUAUGGUGCAAGCGUUAUCCGGAUUUACUGGGUGUAAAGGGAGCGUAGACGGCUGUGCAAGCCUGGAGUGAAAGGCCGGGGCCCAACCCCGGGAGUGCUUUGGGAACUGUAUAGCUAGAGUGUCGGAGAGGCAAGUGGAAUUCCCAGUGUAGCGGUGAAAUGCGUAGAUAUUGGGAGGAACACCAGUGGCGAAGGCGUCUUGCUGGACGAUGACUGACGUUGAGGCUCGAAAGCGUGGGGAGCAAACAGG
rnacentral:rRNA from 1 species